CUGGUUUAGUAAAACACAAGAUGUUGCCAAGAUUUUCACUAAAAUCUGAAUCAUGCAAUUUUAACAAACAAUUAUAAGUUGAAUGUUCCAGAAAAAACAUGCUGAAGCGUCUGCUGAGGCCGGUGUGUUGUUUCCCUGCAGAUCUGCAGCCGAGGAGGAGGAAGAGCGGUACAAGUUUCUCUUCUGGGAAGCUCUUGUCUGUUAAUUAGCGGUGAGCAGAUGGAAGAAAGUCCACAUCUCGCAGGGGAUCAAUUCUACCCAAGAAGCAGCAACAGCAGCGGCGGCGGCGGCAGCAGCAACCUCAGUUUAUUUAUUUCUUAGCUCAGCAGCGGCGGGGCAAUGUCACCUCCCAAACGUGUGAGGAAGAAGAGGAGGAGAACCCGGGAGAGUUUGGAAGAGAAGUCUUAGACACACACAAGAUGUGAGGAGCGCCUCGUUUUCAGAGAUUUCCUCAGAGACCGUGAAAGGAGCGGCGUUCAGCUGGCGGUUGAGUGUUGAGUGGAAGUCUCUCCAGUCACUCAGCGCUGCCAGAGCUGCAUGAUGAUCAACACGUCCAGUCAGAGCUGUUGGAAACGCCAGGUGCAAAACGAUUAUAUAGAAAUAUUUAGUGAAGGUGCUGGCCAACCACCGGGAGCAAUGUGGGUUUCAAUGUCUUGACCAAGGACACUCAACAUGUGGACACGGAGGAGGUGGAUCAAACCGCCAACACUGUGAUCAGUGGACAACCCACUCCACCCACUGUACUGCUGUAAAGCUGGAAAGUCGAUGUAUCGAAUACUGCAUCUCCUACUGUGUGGAAAACAAAACAGCAGGACCAGAACAAACAGUACAAGCUCAACAAAGUGAGGACGACUGACAUUCAAGACAUUUGGGCUUAAUAUCCAAACAUUCUGUCCAAAUAAUGGUUUUUACAAACAGGGAGGGAGGUGAAGACAUGUUUGAAGUUGGCUUCAUGAGUUCUGGACCUGAUGGUGUUACAACAGGAGAGAAACAGUGUUAUUAAGGAGCCGAAUUAUUAACUGAAAGUGAAUCAUUCAAGAACAGAGGAGCUGCAGUGAUGACACCGUGUGC